GAGUAAUUUGGCAACAUUGGAAUUGAAAUCAUUAGACCGUUUCUGAAACCAGUAGUGAAGUAUGUUGUUUAAUUUGAUAACACGCAAAAAACCUUACCACAAUUUGAAUAUUUAUAUUGAACAUAUAUCUACAAGCGUUGCACGGCUGUCUUCAGUUAAUGUCGUGAGACUGGUUAGUUCCAUUAAUUAAGCGUAAACCCUUACUUUAUUUUUUAUAUAAAGUAGUUCCCCGCUAGAUUGGAUAUGAU
rnacentral:rRNA from 1 species